rnacentral:rRNA from 1 species
CUAUCGUCAAGUGACUAAAGGGAUUGUUAGGGAUGACUAGCAAGCGUAUCAGAAGAGAAGUGGAAACACUAAAUGGACUAAACACGUCCGAUCUCAAGGGAAACCAUAUAGCACAUAUGUGUAUGACUACGGACUGAACCGAAACAUCGUAGUAAGUCUAGGAAAGGAAAUCAACCGAGACCCUGUCAGUAGCGGCGAGCGAACGCAGGAUAGCCUAGUAAUAGUGACUAGUAGAUCCAAUACUCUGGAAUGGGUAGAAGCAUAGUAAUAUGUACCAUAGAAGGUUAUAGUCCUGUAGAACUACUACUCUAUUACAACUAGCUAAGGACCUUAAUUUCGUAUGAAGUUCUGGCAUCUUAGUGAGUAGGGCGGCAUCAAACCUGCCCGAAUAAGGGUGCACCAUCAUCCAAGGCUAAGUAUGAUACGUUUAGCGAUAGUGAAUAGUACUGUGAAGGAAAGUUUAAAAGAAAGUCGAUGACUAGUGAAAUAGAGCCUGAACUAGCAAUCCUAUAAGCAGACAGAGCAUUAAUAUGUGAUGUCGUACCUUUUGCAUAAUGGGUCAGCAAGUUUGUGUUGCAGGUAAGGUGUGAGCCCUAGCGAAAGCGACUAUCUGUGAUCGCAAUCACGGAUGGGUUAAAUCUGCAGUACAAGACCCGAAACAUCUUGAUCUAUCCAUGGGCAGGUAUAUAGGACCGAACCAGUGUACGUUGCAUAGUACUUGGAUGACCUGUGGAUAGGAGUGAAAUGCUAAUCUAAAGAUGUGAUAGCUGGUUCUCUGCGAAAUGCAUUGCAGUGCAGCGUCAAUGUAAGGUUAUGGUAGGUACAGCACUGAUUGACAUACGGUUAUACCGUAGACUAGGGGGGCGUAACAGCUCUAUCUAGGUCAGUUAACCUCGGAAUGACCAUAAGUGAUCAUUGGCAGUGAGUCCUAGGGUGAUAAGGUCUUAGGACGAGAGGGAAACAGCCCAAACAGUGUGUUAAGGUCCCAAAGAUAUUGACAAGUGAAAUUAAGGAAGUGCAUUGCUUUAGACAGCCAUGAUGUGGGAUUGGAAGCGUCCAUCAUUUAAAGAAAGCGUAACAGCUCAGUGGUCUAUCUCUAAAGUAAUUUAGAAUGGCAGUGUGCGCCGAAGAUAUACCGGGUCUAAUCAAUACACCAAUACCACUGUCUAGUAUCUAUAUUCAUUAUCGAUACUAAGAGGUAGCAGAGCGUCCAGUACCUAUGAAGAGCAGUAUGUUAUUGUUUGGAGGUCACUGGAGUGAGGAUGCUGGCAUGAGUAGCAAGAAUGGAUGUUAAAUCAUCCACACCGAAAGAGGAAGGGUUCUGAGGGCAAGUUACACUGCCUCAGGUCAUAAGCGGUGUCUAAGGAGUUAGCCAAUGCGAAGCUCUGAUGAUUAUGUUGCAGAACGGGCUCAUUACUGAGACCCAGGAAAAUAAUGCAACUUUACUACCGUACCUUAAACCGACACAGGUCCUCGGGUAGAGUAUACUAAGGUGACGAGAUAACCAAGCUUAAGGAACUCGGCAAACUGAUCUCGUACGUUCGACAAUAAGAGAUGCCUUUGUACUGUUUAGGCAGUAUGAGGGUGGCACAGAAUCAGGGAGUGCGACUGUUUACUCAAAACACAGCAGCCUGCUAACACUAACGUGGUCGUAUAGGUUGUGAUUCCUGUCCGGUGUCUCGCGAUAAAGUUAUGAUGUGUAUGGCUUACCAUGUACAUUGAACUAGAAGUCGAGAUAAACGACGGUCUUAACUAUAAGGAUCCUAAGGUAGCAAAAUGCCUUGGCCACUAAUUAUGGUCUUGCAUGAAUGGAAUAGAUUAUCGCAGUUCCAUGGCUCCAUGCAACUAUCUUUGAGGAAACUCAAAAAUAUAGGAAUGAGCCAAUAAUGUCAAUAUAUGCUGGAAUGGCUUGAUAUCUAAUUGCUCAAAAUGAGAUACACUAUUAGAUUUAGCUGAUCAGCAGUGGUACAUAAUACCACUCAGAGACUUUCAUGACACAUAUGAACUUCAUAUGAUUGUAGAGUCCUGGAGAGAAGAAAUUCUCUCUUGAGCGAUGCUCCUACUGUCUUAAGCUUGGGCUCGGUGAAAUUGAAUUAGCCGUGCAGAUGCGGUUUACCACCAGAUAGACGGGAAGACCCUAUGCAACUUUACUAUAGCUAGGCAUUGUACUAGGCCAUCACUUGUCACAGGUAUGAGGUAGCUGAUAAAGCGUAAGUGAGAGACCUCAACAAGUCAUGGUCAGACUUACCUUGGUAAUAAGCCAAGGGACAUUGCCUAGUGGGUAGUUUUACUGGGACGGUACCCUCCAAGAAAGCAUCGGAGGGGUCCAAUAGGUACACAUAGCUUAGCCGGAGACUAAGUGGCUAUGAAGAGCCAAUAACAGCAUAAUGGCAAAAGUGUGCUAAACUGUAAGACUGACAGGUCAAUCAGGUACGUAAGUAGGGCAUAGUGAACCGAUAGUAUGUUAUGGUACAGCUAUCGUUCAUCGGAUAAGUUACGCUAGGGAUAACAGGCUGAUAGCGCGAAAGAGUUCAUAUCGUAAGCGCUGUUUGGCACCUCGAUGUCGACUCAUCACAUCCUCCUGGUGUAUCAGCUAGGAAGGGUUCAACUGUUCGUUGAUUAAAGUGGUACGUGAGUUGGGUUUAAUACGACGUGAGUCAGUAUAGUCCCUAUCUUCUGGUGGGACAUGUAGACGAAGAAGAACAUCUGGUUAGUACGAAAGGACCAUCAGGUGCGCACCUCUGGUGUAUCUGCUAUAGUUCAUUGACUGUACUGCAGAGUAGCUACGUGCGUUAAGGAUAAGACCUGAAAGCAUAUAAGGUCGAAGCUGCUCUUUGGAGGCUAAACAGCAACGGGAUGUAGACCACGUCCUUGAUAGGUCACAUGUGUAAGCUCCGUUAAGGAGUGAGCUGAGUGAUACUAAUGUGUUGCAUGACUUGACG